rnacentral:rRNA from 1 species
CGGCGUGCCUAACACAUGCAAGUCGAGCGAUCUCUUCGGAGAGAGCGGCGGACGGGAUGAGUAACGCGUGGGUAACCUGCCCUGUACACACGGAUAACAUACCGAAAGGUAUACUAAUACGGGAUAACAUACGAAAGUCGCAUGGCUUUUGUAUCAAAGCUCCGGCGGUACAGGAUGGACCCGCGUCUGAUUAGCUAGUUGGUAAGGUAAUGGCUUACCAAGGCAACGAUCAGUAGCCGACCUGAGAGGGUGAUCGGCCACACUGGAACUGAGACACGGUCCAGACUCCUACGGGAGGCAGCAGUGGGGAAUAUUGCACAAUGGGCGAAAGCCUGAUGCAGCAACGCCGCGUGAGCGAUGAAGGCCUUCGGGUCGUAAAGCUCUGUCCUCAAGGAAGAUAAUGACGGUACUUGAGGAGGAAGCCCCGGCUAACUACGUGCCAGCAGCCGCGGUAAUACGUAGGGGGCUAGCGUUAUCCGGAAUUACUGGGCGUAAAGGGUGCGUAGGUGGUUUUUUAAGUCAGAAGUGAAAGGCUACGGCUCAACCGUAGUAAGCUUUUGAAACUAGAGAACUUGAGUGCAGGAGAGGAGAGUAGAAUUCCUAGUGUAGCGGUGAAAUGCGUAGAUAUUAGGAGGAAUACCAGUAGCGAAGGCGGCUCUCUGGACUGUAACUGACACUGAGGCACGAAAGCGUGGGGAGCAAACAGGAUUAGAUACCCUGGUAGUCCACGCCGUAAACGAUGAGUACUAGGUGU